AGCUGGUCAAGGUGCAGUGGUGUUUAUAACUAAUUCAUCACAACCAGUGACAGAUUCCUUUGUUCCUUCUCCACCCCCACUGCUCCUCUUGACUAGCCUUUA
rnacentral:Y_RNA from 1 species